GAUGAACGCGGCGGCGUGCUUAACACAUGCAAGUCGAACGAGAGAUACAGGAGGAAGUUUUCGGACGGAAUCCGGUAGAUCGAGUGGCGGACGGGUGAGUAACGCGUGGGGAACCUGCCUCAUACAGGGGGAUAACAGUUGGAAACGACUGUUAAUACCGCAUAAGACCACAGAGUCGCAUGACUCAGGGGUAAAAACUCCGGUGGUAUGAGAUGGACCCGCGUUCGAUUAGCCAGUUGGCGGGGUAACGGCCCACCAAAGCGACGAUCGAUAGCCGAUUUGAGAGAAUGACCGGCCACAUUGGGACUGAGACACGGCCCAAACUCCUACGGGAGGCAGCAGUGGGGAAUAUUGCACAAUGGGGGGAACCCUGAUGCAGCGACGCCGCGUGAGUGAAGAAGUAUUUCGGUAUGUAAAGCUCUAUCAGCAGGGAAGAAGAUGACGGUACCUGA
rnacentral:rRNA from 1 species